rnacentral:rRNA from 1 species
GAUGAACGCUGGCGGCGUGCCUAAUACAUGCGAGUCGAGCGAACGGACGAGAAGCUUGCUUCUCUGAUGUUAGCGGCGGACGGGUGAGUAACACGUGGAUAACCUACCUAUAAGACUGGGAUAACUUCGGGAAACCGGAGCUAAUACCGGAUAAUAUUUUGAACCGCAUGGUUCAAAAGUGAAAGACGGUCUUGCUGUCACUUAUAGAUGGAUCCGCGCUGCAUUAGCUAGUUGGUAAGGUAACGGCUUACCAAGGCAACGAUGCAUAGCCGACCUGAGAGGGUGAUCGGCCACACUGGAACUGAGACCCGGUCCAGACUCCUACGGGAGGCAGCAGUAGGGAAUCUUCCGCAAUGGGCGAAAGCCUGACGGAGCAACGCCGCGUGAGUGAUGAAGGUCUUCGGAUCGUAAAACUCUGUUAUUAGGGAAGAACAUAUGUGUAAGUAACUGUGCACAUCUUGACGGUACCUAAUCAGAAAGCCACGGCUAACUACGUG